GAUGCCUGCAGAAGCUGACUGAUCCUCUGGAGUUGGAGUUACAGGCAGUUUGUCAGCCUCCGGACCUGGGUGCUGGGAAUCGAAGGCGGUUCUCAAGAAAGAGCAGUAGCACCACUAGUUUCCGCUCCUUCCUGGUGGCUGCCUAGCCUGGUAUUAAAGUCUUCAUUUUGGCUUGUCUGAGAAUAAUUCUCUGAGGUCUUAUUGCUUAACUCCUGGGAAGCAGGGGCUUGGUGAAUCUGAACAGCUUCAUGGACUCCCUGGAGUUAUUUGAGUUGCUUUGGGCUUAAGGAGCUUCCCUGCAGGAUGGAACGUUUCAAUCUAGGAGGAAACUGCUAUACAAGAGGCAGGAGAAUGCUAAGUUUGAUACUACCUGAGCCACAAAGUAAGCACAAGAAACCAGCUUCAUCUUCAUAGCGAAACUCUAUUGAACAAGACAAAACAAAAUGGCUGAGUGUGUUGACACAUUCCUGUAAUUCCAGCCCCAAGAUGGGGAGGCAGAAAAUCUGGACUUCAAGUUCCUCCUCAGUUUGAGUCUAGUUCAAGCUGCAAAGACCCUGGUUCAAAACCAACCAACCAACCAACC
rnacentral:lncRNA from 1 species